GGUGACGCACGCCGCUGGCGCGAGGACCUUUUGUGAGGAGCAAAAGAAGGGAUCCACCUAUUCAGUUCCAAAAUCUAAGGAGAAGUUGAUGGAGAAGCAUUCCCAGGAAGCCAGGCAGGCAGACAGGGAGUCGGAGAAGCCUGUGGACAGCCUCCACCCGGGGGCCGGGACAGCCAAGCACCCGCCGCCGGCAGCUUCGCUGGAAGUGACGGGCUGAGCGACAGUGAGGAGCAGGCUGCUGACUCCCUUGCCACACCGUGAAGGAGUCCCAAAGGUGGGACACUGAGUGAGACAAGCCAGAGGAAAGACCACUCAUGUUGCAGUUCCCUUUCCAUGGAAUGUCCAGAAAAGGCACAUUUACAGAGAGAAGCAGAUGAGUGGUUGCUGGGCAGAAAUGGGAGCCGGCCACAGCUGAGCACAAGAGGACUUUGGAGGGUGAUGGAAAUGGUUUUCGACCUGAAUCUGAACAUGGGAAGCACUGCAGUUUAGUAGUCCUGGUCCCUAAGCCCUUCCAGCCCAGGAGCCAGACCUGUGAGCAAACAAGCCUUUAGUGAUUCCAGGCUCUGGCUGGAACCUUGAGUCUUCUCAGCUUGGGGCAUGCACCUCAGGGGGAGCCAGCAUCAGUGUCCAGCCCCAAGAGCUUCCCUGUACGUCUCAGUGAGUCUUCACAUGCCUCCAACUGCCUGGACAACCACACGUGAUACCUGUCCUGCCAAACGUGUCCUGAACCCAUAAAAUCCAGAGAAAAGAAAAUCGUUUUAAACUGCUGAGGUUUGGGAGAAACCUGAUGUAAAGCAAAAGUCCAGCAGGAAGAAAGUGGUCGUUCCACAGAUCAUCAUCACGCGAGCGUCGAAUGAGACGCUAGUCAGUUGCAGUUCCAGCGGGAGUGACCAGCAGAGAACCAUUCGGGAGCCGGAGGACUGGGGCCCCUACCGGCGGCACAGGAACCCCAGUACAGCAGACGCCUAUAAUUCACAUCUCAAAGAAUAAACAAGCACCUUUGCAUGGCACUCGCUACUCCCUGCGAUAGGCGUCUCGGGAACAGCCGCCUCACCCUGUGAGAAGCCGAGGCCCCUUCUCCAGUGCUCUCGGGGAGGUUGCACCAGGCCCACCCCACCCUGUGAGAAACUGCAGCCCCCUUCUCCAGUGCUUUCGGGGAGGGUGCACCAGGCCCGCCCCACCUUGUGAGAAGCCGUGGCCCCCUUCUCCAGUGCUCUCAGGGAGGGUGCACCAGGCCUGCCCCCGCCGUGAGAAACUGCAGUCCCCUUCUCCAGUGCUCUCGGGGAGGGUGCACCAGGCCCACCCCACCCUGUGAGAACCUGCAGCCCCCUUCUCCAAUGCUCUCGGGGAGGGUACACCAGGGUUGCCCCACCCUGUGAGAAGCCACCGCCCCCUUCUCCAGUGCUCUCGGGGAGGGUGCACCAGGGCUGCCCCACGCUGUAAGAAGCCGCCGCCCCCUUCUCCAGUGCUCUCCAGCCCGCCCCACCCUGUGAGAAGCCAUGGCCCCUUCUCCAGUGCUUUUGGGGAGGGUGCACCAGGGCCACCCCACCCUGUGAGAAGCCGUGGCCCCCUUCUCCAGUGCUUUCGGGGAGGGUACACCAGGCCCGCCCCACCCUGUGAGAAGCCGUGGCCCCCUUCUCCCGUGCUCUCAGGGAGGGUGCACCAGGCCUGCCCCCGCCUUGAGAAACUGCAGCCCCCUUCUCCAGUGCUCUGGGGGAGGGUGCACCAGGCCUGCCCACCCUGUGAGAAACUGCACCCCCUUCUCCAGUGCUCUCGGGGAGGGUGCACCAGGCCCGCCCCACCCUGUGAGAAGCCGCAGCCCGUUCUCCAUUGCCAUUUGGUCCUGCCUUCCCCAGAGCUGCUAGCAGCUCGGUCGAGGCAAGAGUGACUGGCUCAGAGAGCGAGCUUUGUGGUAUUGAUAAAUGAAUAAAUUAGUAUGUUCAUGUUGGAAGUGGCUGGCUCUGCAGAGUGAUGGACAGCAGGUGGCAUCUUACAUUGUGAUUUGUGGUGCACAGUUAAAACACUUCCCUUCGUUUCAGAAGGAGACAAUGUGAAUACUUGGAAAUUAUAGUGAAUAAGAUGCCUCCCAAACUUGAGGAAAAGGUCAGAUUCUAAGAGCUAAACGUUAAGAUGUAAUGUUCCAGAACAAAGAGGCCCAGAGUCACUGAACGGGGCCCCAGGGCUCCUAGCUUGAGUGUAAUCUGAGUCAGCUUAUGAAAAGGCCCCAAAGAAGAAAGUGGAAUGUGUGCUGGGCACAUGGGACAGCCAUGGCACUGAGACUUUGGAAGUGGCCUUGCCAGCGCUGUCCUGUCUUUCUGGCCCACAGAUGAGGGCUCCUGAUUGUGGAAGGCCACGGAAGGGACCUGAACACGAUGGCACGAGACAAGUUAUCUCCUGUGACUGCUCCUCUCCAGCAACCCUCAGCUCAGGCUAGACUUUCCCCCUGUGUUGAGAAUGCCCUGCCCUGUGUGGAAGCCUGAUGCAUUUAGUGACAGUGUGUUAGCUUUGUUAGUUUCUAGUCUGGCCAGCAGGCUUUCCAUGUGAUCUGCCAUUGGCUUGCUUCAGUGGCCAGUGGAGCCAGGGGUGUCCACCAGAGUCUUGGACACAGACUUCUGAGGUGGCAGCGGGAGGGAGCCUGCUCCCUGCCACACACGUACAAUUUCUAAUCCAUACAGGCCUAUGUAGUAUAUACACACAUACGCAGAGCCUUAGGAAUUGUGAAAGGCCAAUCAAAACUUGGGGCCCUAAUUUCACUCUGCC
rnacentral:lncRNA from 10 species